rnacentral:rRNA from 1 species
UAAGGCGGCCAUACCUUGAGGGGCUCCACUCCUUCCCAUUCCGAACAGGAUAGUGAAAUCCUCAAGGGUCGAUGGUACUCAACCCAUAGUGGUUGGGGAGAGUAGAUUGCCGCCUUAC